AGACUUAUUACGAUAUCACCAAGUUAUGAUAAUUGAAUUUCUAACUGAAAGAGAUUUAUUUAUAUCUUGUUUUUUAGACUUAUUACGAUAUCACCAAGUUAUGAUAAUUGAAUUUCUAACUGAAAGAGGGUUUAUAUUCGAUAUACAGCUAUGCAGUAAGUAUGCUGAAGGUAAGAGGAGGGAGUAACGUUCAAGUACUUAUGUGUUGAAUGGCUUCCCUGUGAACAGGCAUUUUCCAUUUUCCAUUACAAAAGCCAGCUGGCAACUAUUGCUCUGGCUGCAGAUGAGAAUCCAUUUGGCGUUGUACUUGGUGGAAUCGUGUCAAUUCACUAUCUUCAAAGAUUGUUCUGCAUUUUCAUCUAUAGCCCCUUUGUCGGAUGCCUCCUUCCAUAUGCUCCGCGUGAAGAGCGCAAACUAUUGCUAAACUUACCUUAAUUCUUUUCUUGUUCAAUUUACAAAUUCAGUUAGUUAGAAGAAACACCUUAUUCAUAUAAUAUUCUGAUACGAGUACUGCUUCAAUUCAACAUUUUUCUUUCAUAAUUAAUGCCUCAUGGAAACGGAAACUAAUUAUAUGCUUAAAAAUACGGUAUAAUUUGAUUGAUAUGGUCCACUGAUGGGUUUCAAAGACCUGCUCUAUUUAGUUGUAUGCUAUCUUAUAAAUGUUAUCUUAGCGGUGUUGCCGAUUCUAUGUUUUCUUAAGCUCUGCUUUAUCUUUUAAGAGCAAGCAGAUGCUUUGACUAUAUAUUAGGGCAGUAUAGCUAAUCAACCUUAAUAUUGAUACAACAGUCUCUAUGACUAUCUAAAUGACAGUAGUUAGCUGAAAUGUAAAAUAUGUAUUCUGCGGUCCAAUAGCAUUCCUCAACUCCAUAACAUGAGGUUUGUUUCUGGUUUCAGAGGACAAGCUCUGUGUACCAUUGCUGUAGUCAUGGGAGGAAAAAGCUUGGCAAAACAGAUAUCUGAGAAACUGGUUGCACUAUCUGGUGGAGUUCUUUUCAUUGUUUUUAGUAUUAAAUCUUUCUUCCUGACAAAAAAAAGAAAGUAUUGAAUCUUUCUUGUCUACGGUAGAGUAGAGUUGUGAGGUGUAAUACAACUGAGACGAUCUACGUAUUCAAGUUCAUAUAUAUGUUACGAUGAGUACCAGGACUAGCAACAUAGUCAUUGGCAGGAUAGCACAUUUGCUGAUUCUGGCUGCAAAGAAUAGUGCCAUAGAGCUAUUUUCUUCAAUUUUUCUCCUGUAUCCGUAACCAUCAUUACGUGGUAGUCCGAGUCCAUUUCAAACUACAGAUGGACCGUUGUAUGGCAUUACCAAUGAUCAGUAGGAUCAAAGCAAGACCAGUUACAUUGUUAGAACUUCUAACUUAGAAAACUGGAAAUUGAUUUGACUCGUUAUUUUGUAUGUUCCUGAUACGG